rnacentral:sRNA from 1 species
UCCGCGAGGUUAUUGACGGUAGUUACCAAAUAAAUAAUACAUUUCUGAAGGAGUGAAGGAGCCGAUGUUGAUUUCUGAGUAACCAGCCGCAGGUUAUCCGUGGAAUCCUCCGCAACUUGCUCCAAGGUUGCAUUUGUUCUCCCGAGCCUCCGAUUGUCCUGUGCGUGUACAGGUACAUGCCUGGAUAUAUAUACGCAGUUUUAACGCAGUAUAUCGCGUCUACAUGUCCACUGAAAAGGGCCCCAGUGCAAGCCUUGGAUUUUUUUUUCUUUUUCUUUCUUUUUUGUUGGUGGGUUGGCCUCAGCUGCGCACUUCAUCUCCGUUCUUUCAUUCUCCAAGCUACAAAGAGUAC